rnacentral:rRNA from 1 species
UACGGGGGGAGCAAGCGUUGUUUGGAUUUACUGGGCGUAAAGGGCGCGUAGGCGGUCGCACAAGUCAGCUGUGAAAUCUCCGGGCUUAACUCGGAAAGGUCAACUGAUACUGUGCGACUAGAGUGCAGAAGGGGCAACUGGAAUUCUCGGUGUAGCGGUGAAAUGCGUAGAUAUCGAGAGGAACACCUGCGGCGAAGGCGGGUUGCUGGGCUGACACUGACGCUGAGGCGCGAAAGCCAGGGGAGCGAACGGG